rnacentral:lncRNA from 1 species
AGAUGCCAAAAUGGAACCAAAUCUCCAUGAACUCUGCUAAUGGAAGACGAGGAAAAGGCAGAAUAGAAAUCUUAGAGGUAUUCCCGGAACUGGGAUUAAUCAGAAGUCAACAUGGUGGAUUAGCAUGUAAGAUGGAGUUGCUUUAACCUGCACAUCUUUGCUAUUACAAAUAGUGCUAUUAUAUAUAUAUAAAAUAUGAUUUAUAUAUGAUAUAUAUAUAAAAGUGUGAAUAAUCUUGCUGUUUUCUUUUAUGAUUUAAUUUUUCAGUCUAUAAGAUUGAACAUAUGUCAUUUUGUUUAUACAUGUGUUAUAGAUUGAGUAUUUGUGUUCCCCCAUCAAAUACGCUGAAGCCUUAACUCCCAGUAUGACUCUAUUGGGAGAUAGGGCCCGUGAGGAGGUAAUAAAGGUUAAAUGAGGGCAUAAUGGUGAGGCCCUGACCCAUUAGGCCUGGUACCCUUAUAAGAAAAGCAAGAGACAUCAGAGAUCUUUCUCUGCCAUGUGAGGACACAGUGAGAAAGUGGCUGUCUGUAAGCCAGGAAGACAUCCUUUACCAGGAACCAAAUCAGCCAGCACCUUCAUCUUGAACUUCCUGGCAUCCAGAACUAUAAGGAAUAAAUUUAUGUUGUUUAAGUCACCCAGUCUUUGGUAUUUUGUUAUGGCAGCCUGAGCUUACUAGUACAGUAAGCAUAUCUGAAGGCUAAAAUUGCCAGAAAUAGAAACAUGUAAUCACUAGGUCAGUAACCUAAGCAAACCCAAAUGGACCAAAUGCAACGCUGAUGGAAUCUAAGUGCUCAGACCAAGGAACGGGGACUGAAAUAACAGUGGACACCACAUGGCAUGAUCCAAUCAGAUUGAGCCCUGGAAAGAUCAUCCCAUGGCAAGAUCCAGUUAGAUUACACUUCCUGGCAUCACCUCAUUGCAAGAUCCAAGAUCAUGCCUCAUUACCUUCUGCCUGUAAAACCUGCCCCAGCCCCCAGCUCCAGGAGACAGAUUUGAGCCAGGCUCCUGUCUUUCUCUGCAGCCUUGCAAUAAACUUUUCUUUCUACAAAAACC